CUGAUCACUUAAUCAAUUCUUAUAACGUAAAACCACUAGUCCCUCUUGUUCUCCCCGCUCCUUGCUGGUGAGACCCAUCUGGUUCCUCGCCUAAGAUAACCUUGGAGCCUACUGUAUAACCAGAGAGAACCAUUGUCAUAACCUUGAACUCAUACUCAAUUUCCCAGAAAAAUUGCCCAAAUUUCAUCUAUCAAAACCCAACUCGAAUUUAACCAAUCUUCUACAAGCCACGUACCCUAUCUCAUUUCACAGUUGGUCUGUGUCAUCGCCUUCUAGGAGCGAAUUCAAAUCUUUUCAUAUGUGCGGAGCUUCUUCAAUUUCCAUCAGAUCUGUUUUUCAUAUGUAUUGUGUGCUAAAUCGAAGGGGACAGAUAGUAAGGAAGGAAAAAUCAAAGAUGAAAUUGCCCUUCUUUUCGUGAGGACCCAUAUGAAUCUUCCUAAAUAACACUUGAAAUAUUCAAAUUAUACAAUCUGGAUUGAUGUGAAUUGAGUAUUUUCAAGUUCCCUGUGGAAAAGGUCAAGAAUGGUGAGCUGGUUAACGUCAAAAUAUGAAAAUGGGGAAAUAAAGGGUGUUGGUUCAUCUUCAAAUGUGAAAAAGAUGAAACAUGGUGAACUGGAUUAAUGUUAAGAUGAAGAUGAAGUGGUUAAAGCUUCAGCUUCCUUGGUUCUGUUCUUUUAGUAUUUGACACCGUUUUAUGAAGAUGGCUUGAUAAUGAUAUUAUGUUUCUUGAUAUUUGGCAACUGUAGAGUAGAAGUUAUGCUGAAUAUAUUUUUAGAUGACUACUAGAGUGUAAAAGAGAUUGCUCUGGCAAUGACAAUGGAAAAAAAAAACAGAAAUCCUAAGUUUAGACAAACAAAAACAACUCAAAUAAACAUAAAUAUUUAUACCUAAAUAAGAAAAUUAGACAGAACAUAUAACUUUUUUUUUUUUGACAUAUUACUUACCUUUUAUUGAAAAGUGCAUCCAAAUAUGACUAAGAAGACCUGAAACGAAUAAAGUAAUUAACAUCCAACAUAUGAGGAUCGACUUUGGGAUGUCGCCCCCUCAUUACGAAGAAGCUAAGAGAAAAAAGCAAGCCAAUAGUAACAAUACUUACUGGACUCUGAGCUGCUGAUAGGAGAACGAAGUGGACCAAUAUGAGGAUUAAAUGCAAGAAAAAAAAGGAAGCAGACUUGGUGGAAAACUUAUGUUAUUUAGAGGUUAUUAUAAAUAUCCGAUAGAUGAAUUUCAGCUUCGACACACCAUGAAGCUGGGAUUCUAUAGAUUACUUAAAGCAUGAUUGGCUAUACUAUUUGUUUAAUGAUCUUUAAAAUGAAUUUCGAACUACAUCAAGGGUACAGUUUGUAUCGCCUUGGAAUUAAGUUAUUUGUUCCUAUCAUAAACCUGAAGCAGUAAUUAAUAUAUAUUAGUUAUCACCCAGCAUAAUGCACUCGGUUAAUCUGAAAAUGAUAAAUGGAAAUCAUAAAUGUGUAUGAAAAAACAGCAAAAUCUAUUGUUUCACGUAUUAUUAGAGCUUCAUAAGUGUAACGACCCGUUUGUUCGUUUAGCACUUUAAAACUACGAAAAGGGUAUGGGACUAUAUUGUAUUUAUUUAUAUGAUUUUAAUACAUGUUAUAGUUUAUAUGAGAUGAUGAAUAGAGUGAAGUAAUCUGAGGACUAAUGAUAUAUUACAUCUGGUGAAAGGGCAAUUGAUAUCUUAGGAAGACAUUUGUUAUGUAAAAGGAAAAAAAAAAGUGGACAGCCCACUAUUUAGUGGUCUCACGUAAAAGUUGGCAAAAAUAUGUAGUUAAUUAGAAAUAAAUGAAGUGGGCAAGCCACUUUUAUUAUGAUGCUGAGUGACAUUCGAAAUGUAAAAAAAAAAAAAAAAAGUAGGUCAGCCCACCAUUUGGUGGUCUCACGUAACCCAAGGAGAGUUGACAAUAAUAUAUACUCAAUUAGAAAUAAAUGAAGUGGGCAAGCCACUUUUAUGAUAUUGCCAGGAAUAAAAGAGGAAUUAAGUGGAAGGUUUGUUUUUGGUUUACACGGAAAGAAGGCAAAAGAUAGAAAAGAGAAGGAAACAGGCCAGAGAAAUUAUUUUGAUCAUUCAGAGGCUCUACGCAAAGGGAAGGCAUUAGUUUGAUUGUUCGUGGCACCCGCUCGGCAUUGAGAGUACGAUCCAGGUUCCAAUUCUACACCCCGUGGCUGAUAGGCGAGGGUGACAUCUUUCAGUCAUUCAGGGUGAGCUACUUGGUCAUCCGUGGCCCCUGAAGGACCUCCUCCUCUAUUUAUUUCUGUUUUUAUUUCGACAGACAAUAUGUAGCCUUCGGGUAUUUCAGACUUCUAUUCCGUAUUAUGUUAGUGCUCUUGUACCCUCUAACCAGAUUUUGGGGUUGUCGUGACAUUUCUAGUUAUGAUAAGUAUUUAAGACUUGAUAA